rnacentral:rRNA from 1 species
GGCUGAAAUUCGCCUUCACGAAGUCGGAAUUGCUGUAAUGGCAGGUCAGCAUACUGCCGUGAAUACGUUCCCGGGCCCUUGUACACACCGCCCGUCACACCAUGAGAGUUAGGAAUACCCGAAGCCUGUGAGCUAACUUUAAUAGAGGCAGCAGUCGAAGGUAGAACUAAUGAUUGGGGUGAAGUCGUAACAAGGUAAC